GCAAACUUGGUCAUUUAGAGGAAGUAAAAGUCGUAACAAGGUUUCCGUAGGUGAACCUGCGGAAGGAUCAUUAAUGAGUUGUGAUGGGGUUUGAUGCUGGCAGCCAACUCUUGUUGGAUGCAUGUGCUUGCCCUAACAAUCAUCUUCCAAACACCUGUGCACAUUUUUUUUUUUUUAAGGGAUUUGUGAGUCUUGAUUGCCACCUUUUGGUGAUUUUCUUGCAUUUCCCUUGAAUCCAUUAUACACUGUCUGCAAUGCUGUGAACGUGCUUUGUGCCGUUAAGGCCUUUUGAUAUAUAAUACAACUUUUAACAACGGAUCUCUUGGCUCUCGCAUCGAUGAAGAACGCAGC
rnacentral:misc_RNA from 1 species